AUUGAACGCUGGCGGCAGGCCUAACACAUGCAAGUCGAACGGUAACAGGAAGCAGCUUGCUGCUUCGCUGACGAGUGGCGGACGGGUGAGUAAUGUCUGGGAAGCUGCCUGAUGGAGGGGGAUAACUACUGGAAACGGUAGCUAAUACCGCAUAAUGUCGCAAGACCAAAGAGGGGGACCUUCGGGCCUCUUGCCAUCGGAUGUGCCCAGAUGGGAUUAGCUUGUUGGUGGGGUAACGGCUCACCAAGGCGACGAUCCCUAGCUGGUCUGAGAGGAUGACCAGCCACACUGGAACUGAGACACGGUCCAGACUCCUACGGGAGGCAGCAGUGGGGAAUAUUGCACAAUGGGCGCAAGCCUGAUGCAGCCAUGCCGCGUAUAUGAAGAAGGCCUUCGGGUUGUAAAGUACUUUCAGCGGGGAGGAAGGGAGUAAAGUUAAUACCUUUGCUCAUUGACGUUACCCGCAGAAGAAGCACCGGCUAACUCCGUG
rnacentral:rRNA from 1 species